UCCUUCAGCGAAUAAUUUAAUUGUAAAAUUAAAAGAAACAAUAGUUAUUCUCUAAAAGUUUAGGCCGAUAGAAAAUAAUGUUUAAAUAUUUUUAUAUUUAACACUCUCCUUCGUGUCUGGACUAGACAUUUUUUGUAGGUCCAUAAUGUGGACUUAAAUUAAAUUGGAGGAAAUUAAUAAUACUAGAAGCCUGUAGUGACUCGAACUCAAAACUUUCUAUUCUGAUACCAUGUUAAAUAAUAUUAAACGACUGUUAUUUUCUAAACACUUAAGCUGGUAGAGAACGGUACGUAUUUAAAUAUUUUUAUAUUUAAUAUUAAUAUGGUAUCAGAAAAAAAGGUUCGAGUUCAAGCUUAAGUUAUUGAAAAUAAACGGUUGUUUUAUGUAAUUUAACAAAAUAAUUAUUUUUAAUAUUUAUAUUAUU
rnacentral:lncRNA from 1 species